rnacentral:rRNA from 1 species
UACAGAGGGUGCAAGCGUUGCUCGGAUUUACUGGGCGUAAAGCGUACGCAGACGGUGAGAAAGGUCGGAUGUGAAAGCCCCGGGCUCAACCCGGGAACUGCAUCCGAAACCAUCUCGCUAGAGUAUGGGAGAGGUUGGUGGAAUUCCCAGUGUAGAGGUGAAAUUCGUAGAUAUUGGGAAGAACACCGGUGGCGAAGGCGGCCAACUGGACCAUUUCUGACGCUGAGGCGCGAAAGCGUGGGGAGCAAACAGG